rnacentral:rRNA from 1 species
ACUGACGUUCAUGCCCGAAAGCGUGGGUAGCAAACAGGAUUAGAUACCCUGGUAGUCCACGCCCUAAACGAUGUCAAUUAGCUGUUGGGCAACUUGAUUGCUUAGUAGCGUAGCUAACGCGUGAAAUUGACCGCCUGGGGAGUACGGUCGCAAGAUUAAAACUCAAAGGAAUUGACGGGGACCCGCACAAGCGGUGGAUGAUGUGGAUUAAUUCGAUGCAACGCGAAGAACCUUACCUGGUCUUGACAUGUACGGAAUCCUCCAGAGACGGAGGAGUGCCUUCGGGAGCCGUAACACAGGUGCUGCAUGGCUGUCGUCAGCUCGUGUCGUGAGAUGUUGGGUUAAGUCCCGCAACGAGCGCAACCCUUGUCAUUAGUUGCCAUCAUUCAGUUGGGCACUCUAAUGAGACUGCCGGUGACAAGCCGGAGGAAGGUGGGGAUGACGUCAAGUCCUCAUGGCCCUUAUGACCAGGGCUUCACACGUCAUACAAUGGUCGGUACAGAGGGUAGCCAAGCCGCGAGGUGGAGCCAAUCUCACAAAACCGAUCGUAGUCCGGAUUGCACUCUGCAACUCGAGUGCAUGAAGUCGGAAUCGCUAGUAAUCGCAGGUCAGCAUACUGCGGUGAAUACGUUCCCGGGUCUUGUACACACCGCCCGUCACACCAUGGGAGUGGGGGAUACCAGAAGUAGGUAGGAUAACCGCAAGGAGUCCGCUUACCACGGUAUGCUUCAUGACUGGGGUGAAGUCGUAACAAGGUAGCCGUAGGGGAACCUGCGGCUG